GGAGAUAAACAAUUACGUAAUGGAAUCUGUCGCAGUGUUGAACAAACUUAGGCGGUAAGCAAUGCGGCAUUUAGUGACAGGGACUAAGGUGAACACUGUUAUCAUACCUAGGUGCACAACCGGCCGAAAUUGAAUGUGAUUUUCCAGACAUUUAGUAAGGACAUGAUCAGUCGUCAAUGUCCAACAAUCCCGUCAUCCAGCCAAGCUGAAUCUCAGUCAAUCAGUGGAGAUCAAGAAGCCAGAUCGACCGUGGGUCUAUGUGCCUCAAUGCAGUUUGAUAAUUUUGUUUUAGGACUAUGAAUGCAAAAAAUGUGAUGAUACACUAUCAUUCUGGACAUACCAACAGCCUGACAUCAACGCUAGUUUAUAUAUACAUGUAUAUAUUUAAAAAAAGAAAAAGAAGAUUUUAUCAAAAUCGAUAUCAUCCGAGGUACGUGCAUCCUGUUAUGUGUGUUAUUAUACUUACCUAUACCCUAGUUCCUCUAUGCAGUGUUUGACUCGUUUUGAAUUUUAACAUAUUUCAUUGUUUAAGUGCAUAGGGGCUUACAUUAUACAAAAGGUUUUUAGAAUCAGAUACAUAAUUUUUACCUUUUCUGGUGUUCAUAGUAGUAAUUGUCACACUUAUAAUCCCAAUUUAUUAGAAUUAUAAAUUGGUGUUGGAACUUCCCUCCAUGUUUUGUCUAGUUUGUUUUUGAUGGAGUUCACUGAUUUUGUCAUUAUAUAAUAUCAUUUGUCGUCCAUUUUAGGUGUCUACAACUGUGUGUGAAGUAGUGUUUUCUUGUCUUCUCUUUGGCUAUUUUCUUUCAAUGACCUUUUGUCAAUGACGAAUCGUUACAUACACUGAUGUCAUAUUAUAUACCUAGGAUAACCCAUGAAAGCCGAAAGGCUGAUCUCUAAUGAAUUGUUAUCAAUAAAACAUCUAUGGCCGAGUUUGUUUUCGUCGCUUGCCUGUAGAAUAAGACAGGAGUUUCACGUCUUUAUUCUCGACUGUCCGAGGAAAAAGUGUUGUAUAAAGAUUACACUAAUUACUUUGUACAAAAUUCAUAAUAAUGAGGUUCUGCAGUAUCUAAAAGAAACAAUACCUAAUAAAAACAAACAAAAAGUCCACGUACAAUCUCCGUAAUGGAGACAACUAUACAGUACCAAAAUGUAGACUUGAACUUUAUAAAAAAUCAUUCGUUCCAGUUGCUGUAUCAAUGUGGAAUUCUCUUAGUAUUGAAUCAAGACAGGCUUCUUCAAUUAGCUCUAAUAAUAUCAAUAAUUCUAAACCACCUAUAUACUUUUCAUAUGGUUCUCGUUUCCUGAAUAUAAUUCAUACCAAACUAAGACAUGCAUGUGUUCUGAAUUAUGAUCUGUAUAGACGCAAUAUUGUUGAUUCCCCGUUGUGUUCAUGUGGCAUGCGUGAAGAUGCAUACCACUUUUUCUUUACUUGUAAUAAGUAUACAAAUGCUAGAUAUAAAUUAAUGGAUAGAUUGCUAAGAUUACAUGAUUUGGUAAUAAUUGAUACACAUGUACUACUUUGGGGUGAUAAUGUUUUAUCUAUUGAACUAAAUAAAUUUAUUUUUUCAAAUGUUCAGACGUACAUUCAAGAAACCAAAAGAUUCAAUUAAUGCUAUAUUGUACUACUACUUAUAGAAUAUACCUAUAUGUUCCAUUAUUGUAUUAACUAUUUACUGUAUAUUAAUGACAAUUGUGUGCUAUUCUAUUUUUAUAAGGAGAAGAACUCGUAAGUUGCAAGAACUUGUUUCUAAUCCUUUUGUAUAUAGUAUAUACAAUAAAAUAUGUUCAAAACAAAACAAAGAUUACACAAAUAAUAGUAUCAACGUCUUAGUAGAAAUUUGUAACAACAGGUGUUACACAAUAUGCUAUGUGCAAAAUACUCAUGAAAUACAGCAUCUACAUGUUCAUCUACAAAUAAGCAUUGCUAUAAAGCUUCAUUGCUAUAUACUGGAAUAAAUUAAACUGCGUGGUGAUACAAUAGUUUUAUAUGUAAGGGCACCUCUAAACGUUACACACUCUAUAUAUUACACAAAGAGGCUAAGUCCGUUUUGGGCCCGAACUCUGUGAUACCAUAAAUAUAGAUAUUCGGGCCCAAAACUGGCUUAGCCCCUGUGAUAUUACAGUUAUGAGGCGAUGAUAUGGCAUCUUAUACAUCUGUGAUAAAUACACUGAAACCUGGUACAAUAAUCGAAAUAAAUUAAUUGAUGGGAAACUGUGCACUUAUUUUAAACUUAAAGUAACUCCACCCUCCUGUGAUGUCAUCAGAUUUUGCAAAAUUAAUGAUUUAUUUUGAUUUAUGCAUGAUAGGAACAUAAAUUUUGUUAGAGUCUUUUCCGAUAGUUAUUGUAAAAAAAAAAUUGUAAGAUUAAACUAUUUCAAAAUUCUAAGUUAUAGAUGAAUAAUCAAUGAUACGUUUUAAAAUAUUGAAUCCAAGGACAAUAACUCUGUUUUUCUUUCUUUCUUUAUAAAGUCUAUUAUGUGUUAGAUUUCCUUUGUUUUUACAGACAUUUUGUAUAUUUUUGUGAAGAUAGUUUUAUGAAAUUGUUAUGAAUGCUAUUAUAUCGUCAUAAUAAUCAGUUUGUAUGAAAUUUUGAUAACGCUGUUUAAGGAAAAUUGCAAUUUUCUGACGGUGAUAUAUGAUUCUGUUUAUGUACGUCUCGCAUCUUAAUUAAAAAGUGUGAUGAUCUAUGUAUUUUAUUUGAUAAUUUGUUAGUUUGAACUCUAAUGAAUGGAAAUAAAUACACUUUUAAAACUUGUAUCAGAUAAAACUGGGAGUAUGGAGUUACCUUAAGGAUUACUUUGGUUUUGAGAAAUAAAAUAUUUUGAUAUUAGAAGAUCUAUUUAUAAGUUACGGAUAUCAGCUCAUAAAUUAAUGAUUGAAGUUGGUAGAUAUUCUGGUAUUACUAGGAAUGAACGAAUAUGUAACAAAUCCGGUUCAUUAGGUGAUGAGGUUCAUUUUUUUAAUUAAAUGUGAAAAGUUUUUGUGUUGCUAUAGAAAAAAACAGUUAAUUUUUUUUACUAAACUUAAUGAUGAACAAAAAUUCAUUUACAUAUCAUGUUCUGAAGAGCCAUCUAUUCUAAAUAUAACUGGGAAAUUUAUUUUGAACAAUGUAUAUGACACUGUAUUUGCAUGUAACUACAUGUAUGUGUUAUGUAAUCACUUCUUUCUUUACUUGUAUAUGUUUAUGUACAGAAUUUGUAUAUAUUUUCGUGCUGCCCCUUGAGGGCCCUUGAUUGGAAAAUAAAAAUAUGUUCAGUUC